CAGUAUAUUUUAUAGUGACUUAUUUAUUCUCAACAAGCAAUCUGAGGCUAUGGUGCCUUGCACAUUUACUUGCAGACUUCUAUACAACUUUGGGUUCAAAUGAAAAACGGUCAACAUAUAGUAAAGCUUUACCAAUUAGUAAGACCAUGCCUUCAAUGUUAAUUAGCCUUUGCACUCAUGAAAAUUUAUAAUUUCAAAACGUAAUCUAUUUAAAGGACUGCCAUUACAAAUUUCAUUAACAGUGUAGUUGAAAAGAGAAAGAAUGGCAAACAUAUACCCUAACAUAUUCAAGAUCUUCUUUCAA
rnacentral:misc_RNA from 1 species